GGCUCUUUGGUCUAGAGGUAUGAUUCUCGCUUUGGGUUCAAAUUGCGAGAGGCCCCGGGUUCGAAUCCCGGAAGAGCCC